CUCAGAUUGAACGCUGGCGGCAGGCCUAACACAUGCAAGUCGAACGGUAGCACAGAGAGCUUGCUCUCGGGUGACGAGUGGCGGACGGGUGAGUAAUGUCUGGGAAACUGCCUGAUGGAGGGGGAUAACUACUGGAAACGGUAGCUAAUACCGCAUAAUGUCGCAAGACCAAAGAGGGGGACCUUCGGGCCUCUUGCCAUCAGAUGUGCCCAGAUGGGAUUAGCUAGUAGGUGGGGUAACGGCUCACCUAGGCGACGAUCCCUAGCUGGUCUGAGAGGAUGACCAGCCACACUGGAACUGAGACACGGUCCAGACUCCUACGGGAGGCAGCAGUGGGGAAUAUUGCACAAUGGGCGCAAGCCUGAUGCAGCCAUGCCGCGUGUAUGAAGAAGGCCUUCGGGUUGUAAAGUACUUUCAGCGGGGAGGAAGGUGUUGUGGUUAAUAACCACAGCAAUUGACGUUACCCGCAGAAGAAGCACCGGCUAACUCCGUGCCAGCAGCCGCGGUAAUACGGAGGGUGCAAGCGUUAAUCGGAAUUACUGGGCGUAAAGCGCACGCAGGCGGUCUGUCAAGUCGGAUGUGAAAUCCCCGGGCUCAACCUGGGAACUGCAUUCGAAACUGGCAGGCUGGAGUCUUGUAGAGGGGGGUAGAAUUCCAGGUGUAGCGGUGAAAUGCGUAGAGAUCUGGAGGAAUACCGGUGGCGAAGGCGGCCCCCUGGACAAAGACUGACGCUCAGGUGCGAAAGCGUGGGGAGCAAACAGGAUUAGAUACCCUGGUAGUCCACGCCGUAAACGAUGUCGAUUUGGAGGUUGUGCCCUUGAGGCGUGGCUUCCGGAGCUAACGCGUUAAAUCGACCGCCUGGGGAGUACGGCCGCAAGGUUAAAACUCAAAUGAAUUGACGGGGGCCCGCACAAGCGGUGGAGCAUGUGGUUUAAUUCGAUGCAACGCGAAGAACCUUACCUGGUCUUGACAUCCACAGAACUUUCCAGAGAUGGAUUGGUGCCUUCGGGAACUGUGAGACAGGUGCUGCAUGGCUGUCGUCAGCUCGUGUUGUGAAAUGUUGGGUUAAGUCCCGCAACGAGCGCAACCCUUAUCCUUUGUUGCCAGCGGUCCGGCCGGGAACUCAAAGGAGACUGCCAGUGAUAAACUGGAGGAAGGUGGGGAUGACGUCAAGUCAUCAUGGCCCUUACGACCAGGGCUACACACGUGCUACAAUGGCGCAUACAAAGAGAAGCGACCUCGCGAGAGCAAGCGGACCUCAUAAAGUGCGUCGUAGUCCGGAUUGGAGUCUGCAACUCGACUCCAUGAAGUCGGAAUCGCUAGUAAUCGUAGAUCAGAAUGCUACGGUGAAUACGUUCCCGGGCCUUGUACACACCGCCCGUCACACCAUGGGAGUGGGUUGCAAAAGAAGUAGGUAGCUUAACCUUCGGGAGGGCGCUUACCACUUUGUGAUUCAUGACUGGGGUGAAGUCGUC
rnacentral:rRNA from 1 species